UGACCCAGGUCAGCCCGGUUUACCAGGAGUUCCAGGAGAUCCCGGUGUCGGUUUCCCUGGACCCCAGGGACAACCUGGAGGUCCAGGACCAGAAGGGGACAGUGGACUUCCAGGGCCCCAAGGUCCAGAGGGCCCCGAGGGACAACCGGGUCCAAAAGGUACACCCUUACACCCCUUUAAAGAUGCAGUCUGGGAUUUUAAGCACUUAUACAUUCGUAACAUAUCAUACGAAUUGCAAAAAUAAUUAAAACUGGGACCUGUUUUGGCUCAUGAGCACUAUUUUCAAAUCUACUGGCUAAAAUUAUACAAAAGCUCUGGAGCAUCACAUGAACUAUGUUUAUCACUCAAUGUGGAUCCUUUGUGUAAGUUAAGCCUACUUAUAUCUUCAUUAGGUGAGGCUGGCGUUCCAGGUGCUCCAGGUAUCCCUGGCUACUCCAGUGGUGGAUCAUCCAGGAGUUCCCCUGGAGCACCAGGUCCACCUGGACCUCCCGGCCGUGAUGGGCCACCUGGGUCUGGGUCUGGAACACCGGACGUCCGCCAAUACAUCACAGAAUACCUCAAGAGUGAGUGAGAUGAUCUGCUUUUUCUUCUUACCCCCCAAUGAAAAGGAUUGGGGCUAAACUACAUCCAUCCAAAGACCGUUACAGUAUUUGAUAGCAUACGUGACCUCCAUGGGAUAAUAUGGUCGACAAAACAUGAUUUAGUUGUUGUUUGCGUAGUUCAGGCUAACUAAAAUGGUGCCUCAAGAUCUUAAACCUUUUCUACGCUACUGGUUAGCAGUGCAGUAACUUGUGUAUUGUGUUGUCCUUCAUGGAGGCGAUGGUGUCAGGGAGUACAUGUCGGGACCUCCGGGUCCUCCGGGUGUACCGGGGCCCCCUGGUGACGGAUCAGUGGAGUCAGUGGACGAUCUUGCUAGUCGCGUUAUCGCGUAUAUCCAGAGUGGAGGUAUUGCUAGUGGGGUGCCUGGACCUCCAGGCCCGCCUGGUGCUCCCGGUGGAGGCAGUACAUCGCUAAAUGACAUCAUCAGCCUUCUACAGAGUGAGGAAGUGCGACGCUACGUCAUCGGUCCUCCUGGCCCUGCUGGACCUCCUGGCAUCCCAGGGAUCCCAUGGAGAGGAGGCUAUGGCUUUAAUACCCAUGAGGUGGCUGGACGGGUCCUCACUCUAAUGAAUGAUUCUGAAUACAGAGGUGCCUUGGGCGCUCAGGGGCCUCCUGGUCCACCUGGUGUCCCAGGCCCUGCUGGCCCUCAAGGCCCUGCCGGUCCUUCAGGACAGGCCCCCUACAGCAGCUCUGGAUACAGGCUGGAGGAGGUCAAGGACUACAUACAGAGUGGUCUAAGAGGGGGAAUGUUUGGGUCCCCAGGCCCCCCAGGUCCCCCUGGACCUCAGGGACACAAGGGAGAGCAGGGUAACUCUGGGUACGGCCACACCUUUGACCACAGGACCAGCGAAGGAAGAAGGCUGGCUGAGACUGAGACAGACUUCUCCAAUAUAGCGGUCCGAGUGACUGACUACAUCAAGUACCAUGGUCUGUUGAGGGACGUGGUUGAGAACCGGUCUCAGCUGGAGAAGGCACAGGUUGUUCAAGGACCCCCAGGACCCCCUGGCCCUCCCGGUGCUCCAGGAUUCAGCCGUGUGUUUGGUUCCCAUAGUAACGUCACUGACCUUAUGGAAUACAUCAGAGCCCAUGGAAACACUGUGGGACCCCCUGGAAGGCCAGGACAGAAAGGGGACAUGGGACAUACAGGUCACAAAGGCGAGAGAGGUACCUUUUGA
ensembl:lncRNA